rnacentral:rRNA from 1 species
AUGGGCAUACCUUGCAUUUUCCAUGAAACUGUGAUGGAGGUGACGUGGGGCGUGAAGCAUAUCAUCCAUAGUCUAGUGCCUAUGGAAAAAUCAGAGCUGACUAAGGAGGAACGCCUCCCCAUGAGUCAAGGACUAAUAAUGUUCCUGAAUCGUAAAGGUUUUGAUGUCAAACCAGAGAUGGUCAAUGAGCGCAUUGUUCUUUCAGCAUGUGCCUUUUAUGAUUGCGAUGAAAUUGAGAAGAAACAUGAUGCGUGCUUGAGACGCGCUGGCAAGCAACUUAAGGAUGUGUCUGGCAUUAACACCCAGGGCUGGAGCUUACUCAAACUCUCAACAGCUCUGAUGCUUAUAUCUUUCUCCGAAGAAGAAAUUCUAGUUGGUGAUCCAGAAGAGGUAAAUCCUAAUAUCUGUAAAUCCUUUGCUUUCAGGUACAUUUGUUUAUUUACAGCUGAGGAGCUGUCUAAGUUCCAGGAUGAUGCACACGAAUAUGACGACAAGAUCUCAAAGUACCCAUGCCGAAGAAUAUAUGAAGAACUAGUGUGUGCCCUUGAAGCUAGAGCAGCGAAUAGAAUACUUUUGACCUCCUUGGUUAAGGAGGCCGGUUCCUGCUAUUGA